UACAGAGGGUGCAAGCGUUAAUCGGAAUUACUGGGCGUAAAGCGUGCGUAGACGGUUACAUAAGUCGGGUGUGAAAGCCCCGGGCUCAACCUGGGAAUUGCAUUGGAUACUGGCAGGCUAGAGUGCGGUAGAGGAUGGCGGAAUUCCCGGUGUAGCAGUGAAAUGCGUAGAGAUCGGGAGGAACAUCUGUGGCGAAGGCGGCCAUCUGGACCAGCACUGACACUGAGGCACGAAAGCGUGGGGAGCAAACAGG
rnacentral:rRNA from 1 species